AUUGAACGCUGGCGGCAUGCCUUACACAUGCAAGUCGAACGGCAGCACGGGAGCAAUCCUGGUGGCGAGUGGCGAACGGGUGAGUAAUAUAUCGGAACGUGCCCAGUCGUGGGGAUAACGUAGCGAAAGCUACGCUAAUACCGCAUACGAUCUAUGGAUGAAAGCGGGGGAUCGCAAGACCUCGCGCGAUUGGAGCGGCCGAUAUCAGAUUAGGUAGUUGGUGAGGUAAAGGCUCACCAAGCCGACGAUCUGUAGCUGGUCUGAGAGGACGACCAGCCACACUGGGACUGAGACACGGCCCAGACUCCUACGGGAGGCAGCAGUGGGGAAUUUUGGACAAUGGGCGCAAGCCUGAUCCAGCAAUGCCGCGUGAGUGAUGAAGGCCUCGGUUGUAAG
rnacentral:rRNA from 1 species